ensembl:lncRNA
AGUCAUGUCCAACUCGGCAACCACAUGGAGCCUAGCAGGCUCCUCUGUCCAUGAGAUCCUCCAGACAAGAAUACUGGACUGGGUUGCCAUUCCCUUCUCGAAGGUAUUGUCCUGACCCAGGGAUGGAAACCAGGUCUCCUGCACUGCAGGCAGAUUCUUUACCGUCUGAGCCACCAGGGAAGCCCCCUGUUGUACUAAACUCAGAGCUAAAUGAGUCCGUCUGUGGAAAACAGCUGUGGCGCCUUCUUGUCUCGGGCAGGGAGGACCCUUGGCCUCUGCUUCCAGCCCCUGUCAACAUGUCCUGCCUCCCUGCCAGCCCAUUUGCUGUUACUGAAUCUUCAGCCCCAUCACACCCAAGACACCCUCUGUGUCCUUCACACCAGCAACCUCAACCUGACCAGUGUCAUCUCAGCGUUGCUGCCACCCAUCUGGUGCCCAGUCUGUGCCAAGGACUCCACUCACCACCUGCACAGUCAGCUUUCCUAGCUGCAGCCUUGUCCCCAGGGAGGAAGGCUCCAUCGAAAUAAAGAAGUCAUUUUAUUAAAUACACACUAGGAAAGUAGAUCGUUUUUGGUGGUGGUGGUAGUGAUGGGUUUUUGGUUUUUUGUUUUUCUCCAUUCCAUGGUACAAACUGUAGCAGUUCUCUUCAUUUCAUUAUAAAUUAGUUGUCUGGAUCACAUACAUGGUUCAUCUGCACAAGGACCAAAGCUCUGCAUCCAAAGGGCAACUGAGGGACUUCCCUGGUGGUCCAGUGGUUAUCUCACCUCCCAGUGCAGGGGGCGAGGAUCCCACAGGCCUGCUGCUGCUGCUGCUAAGUCGCUUCAGUCGUGUCCGACUCGGUGUGAGCCCAUAGACAGCAGCCCACCAGGCUCCCCAGUCCCUGGGAUUCUCCAGGCAAGAACACUGGAGUGGGUUGCCAUUUCCUUCUCCAAUCCCACAGGCCUGGGGGCCAAAAAAAUCAACACAUACAAAACAGAAGUAACACUGUAACAAAUACAAUAAAGACUUUAAAAAUGGUCCUUACAAAAAAAUCUUAAAGGGGGUGGGGGGUAACAGAUGGAUGCCACAAACAGCAGUGUUGGGGGCAAAGAAACCUCCAACUCACCGACGGAGACCGAUGGAGACUGGAGUUCCCUGGGGACAGAGCUGGGUUCCAUUUACCCCCUGUCUCGAGCUGAGCAAGGGCCCAGCUCAUCCUAAGUGCCCAGGUAUGGGCUGGAUUCACCAAGGUUCAGAUUUAAUAUCUACUUGGGCUUCCCUUGUAGCUCAGUCGGUAAAGAAUCUGUCUGCAGUGCAGGAGACCCAGGUUCAAUCCCUGGGUUGUGAAGAUCCCCUGGAAAAGGAAAUGGCAACCCACUCAGUAUCCUUGCCUGGAACAUCUCAUGGGCAGAGGAGCCUGAUGGGCUGCAGGCCAUGGGGUCACAAAGAGUCAGGCACGACUGAGCAACUAGCACUUAACCAACUGAACUGUACACUUAGAAAUGGUUAUGAUGGUAAAUUUCACGUUGUCUUUUUUACCACAAUUAAAA